rnacentral:rRNA from 1 species
GACGAACGCUGGCGGCGUGCCUAAUACAUGCAAGUAGAACGCACAGUUUAUACCGUAGCUUGCUCCACCAUAGACCGUGAGUUGCGAACGGGUGAGUAACGCGUAGGUAACCUGCCUGGUAGCGGGGGAUAACUAUUGGAAACGAUAGCUAAUACCGCAUAAUAUUGAUUAUUGCAUGAUAAUUGAUUGAAAGAUGCUAUUGCAUCACUACCAGAUGGACCUGCGUUGUAUUAGCUAGUAGGUGAGGUAACGGCUCACCUAGGCGACGAUACAUAGCCGACCUGAGAGGGUGAUCGGCCACACUGGGACUGAGACACGGCCCAGACUCCUACGGGAGGCAGCAGUAGGGAAUCUUCGGCAAUGGACGAAAGUCUGACCGAGCAACGCCGCGUGAGUGAAGAAGGUUUUCGGAUCGUAAAGCUCUGUUGUAAGAGAAGAACGGGUGUGAGAGUGGAAAGUUCACACUGUGACGGUAUCUUACCAGAAAGGGACGGCUAACUACGUG